GAUCAAGAUCGCAGCAAUUCUUGUGGUGGGACCGCGCAUGGGCAGGAUGGUGUAACCAUCCGGCGAUAGCCACCCAUGCGCGACAUACGAGGCCCUGACGGGGCCUUUUUUUAUGCCUUCAA
rnacentral:sRNA from 1 species